CCUCUGCCUAUGAUGGUAUUAAAUAUACUUUGAGUAUUUCGCUAUGAAACGAUUUUUAAUCUGAGGCUU